rnacentral:rRNA from 1 species
GACGAACGCUGGCGGCAGGCCUAACACAUGCAAGUCGAGCGGCAGCGGAAAAGUAGCUUGCUACUUUGCCGGCGAGCGGCGGACGGGUGAGUAAUGUCUGGGAAACUGCCUGAUGGAGGGGGAUAACUACUGGAAACGGUAGCUAAUACCGCAUGACCUCGAAAGAGCAAAGUGGGGGAUCUUCGGACCCCACGCCAUCGGAUGUGCCCAGAUGGGAUUAGCUAGUAGGUGAGGUAAUGGCUCACCUAGGCGACGAUCCCUAGCUGGUCUGAGAGGAUGACCAGCCACACUGGAACUGAGACACGGUCCAGACUCCUACGGGAGGCAGCAGUGGGGAAUAUUGCACAAUGGGCGCAAGCCUGAUGCAGCCAUGCCGCGUGUGUGAAGAAGGCCUUAGGGUUGUAAAGCACUUUCAGCGAGGAGGAAGGCACCAUACUUAAUACGUGUGGUGAUUGACGUUACUCGCAGAAGAAGCACCGGCUAACUCCGUGCCAGCAGCCGCGGUAAUACGGAGGGUGCAAGCGUUAAUCGGAAUUACUGGGCGUAAAGCGCACGCAGGCGGUUUGUUAAGUCAGAUGUGAAAUCCCCGCGCUUAACGUGGGAACUGCAUUUGAAACUGGCAAGCUAGAGUCUUGUAGAGGGGGGUAGAAUUCCAGGUGUAGCGGUGAAAUGCGUAGAGAUCUGGAGGAAUACCGGUGGCGAAGGCGGCCCCCUGGACAAAGACUGACGCUCAGGUGCGAAAGCGUGGGGAGCAAACAGG